rnacentral:rRNA from 1 species
CCCUUAGAUGUUCUGGGCUGCACGCGCGCUACACUGAUGCACUCAACGAGUUUACGACCUUGCCCGAUAGGGUUGGGUAAUCUUUUUAAAAUGCAUCGUGAUGGGGAUAGAUUAUUGCAAUUAUUAAUCUUCAACGAGGAAUUCCUAGUAAGCGCAAGUCAACAGCCUGCGUUGAUUACGUCCCUGCCCUUUGUACACACCGCCCGUCGCUACUACUGAUUGGAUGUUUAAGCGAGGUUCUCGAACUGCUGGCGACUUAGCUUCGGUGAGGUCGCAGUGUGGGAAGUGAACCUAGCUUUGGUGUCUAGAGGAAGUAAAAGUCGUAACA